UAUCGUAUCGGCGCAUCUGGUGCCCCGCGCUGGCUCGAAGGCCGGCGGGGUUAAACGGGAAACAGGGAAGCGCCUUCACAUCGCGGCCGCAACACGGGCGAACCACGCGAAACAUGAAGCCGCCAAGCCUGUGCUGUCCCCGCAACGGUCACGCGGCGAGCGGAAUGAAGCAUGUUUCGCGCAGUGCGUUCAAGGCCACUGCCUGCCAUCCGCAGGUGGGAAGGCGAACGCGAUGAGCCGCCAGCCCGGAUACCGGCCAGUUGCAAGGGGGCGAG
rnacentral:ncRNA from 2 species